CAGAUGAGAAGCUUGCUUCUCUGAUGUUAGCGGCGGACGGGUGAGUAACACGUGGGUAACCUACCUAUAAGACUGGGAUAACUCCGGGAAACCGGGGCUAAUACCGGAUAAUAUUUUGAACCGCAUGGUUCAAUAGUGAAAGACGGUUUCGGCUGUCACUUAUAGAUGGACCCGCGCCGUAUUAGCUAGUUGGUAAGGUAACGGCUUACCAAGGCGACGAUACGUAGCCGACCUGAGAGGGUGAUCGGCCACACUGGAACUGAGACACGGUCCAGACUCCUACGGGAGGCAGCAGUAGGGAAUCUUCCGCAAUGGGCGAAAGCCUGACGGAGCAACGCCGCGUGAGUGAUGAAGGUCUUCGGAUCGUAAAACUCUGUUGUUAGGGAAGAACAAAUUUGUUAGUAACUGAACAAGUCUUGACGGUACCUAACCAGAAAGCCACGGCUAACUACGUGCCAGCAGCCGCGGUAAUACGUAGGUGGCAAGCGUUAUCCGGAAUUAUUGGGCGUAAAGCGCGCGUAGGCGGUUUCUUAAGUCUGAUGUGAAAGCCCACGGCUCAACCGUGGAGGGUCAUUGGAAACUGGGAAACUUGAGUGCAGAAGAGGAGAGUGGAAUUCCAUGUGUAGCGGUGAAAUGCGCAGAGAUAUGGAGGAACACCAGUGGCGAAGGCGGCUCUCUGGUCUGUAACUGACGCUGAUGUGCGAAAGCGUGGGGAUCAAACAGGAUUAGAUACCCUGGUAGUCCACGCCGUAAACGAUGAGUGCUAAGUGUUAGGGGGUUUCCGCCCCUUAGUGCUGCAGCUAACGCAUUAAGCACUCCGCCUGGGGAGUACGACCGCAAGGUUGAAACUCAAAGGAAUUGACGGGGACCCGCACAAGCGGUGGAGCAUGUGGUUUAAUUCGAAGCAACGCGAAGAACCUUACCAAAUCUUGACAUCCUUUGACCGCUCUAGAGAUAGAGUCUUCCCCUUCGGGGGACAAAGUGACAGGUGGUGCAUGGUUGUCGUCAGCUCGUGUCGUGAGAUGUUGGGUUAAGUCCCGCAACGAGCGCAACCCUUAAGCUUAGUUGCCAUCAUUAAGUUGGGCACUCUAGGUUGACUGCCGGUGACAAACCGGAGGAAGGUGGGGAUGACGUCAAAUCAUCAUGCCCCUUAUGAUUUGGGCUACACACGUGCUACAAUGGAUAAUACAAAGGGCAGCGAAUCCGCGAGGCCAAGCAAAUCCCAUAAAAUUAUUCUCAGUUCGGAUUGUAGUCUGCAACUCGACUACAUGAAGCUGGAAUCGCUAGUAAUCGUAGAUCAGCAUGCUACGGUGAAUACGUUCCCGGGUCUUGUACACACCGCCCGUCACACCACGAGAGUUUGUAACACCCGAAGCCGGUGGAGU
rnacentral:rRNA from 3 species